rnacentral:rRNA from 1 species
AGUGAACGCUGGCGGUAGGCCUAACACAUGCAAGUCGAACGGCAGCACAGUAAGAGCUUGCUCUUACGGGUGGCGAGUGGCGGACGGGUGAGGAAUACAUCGGAAUCUACUUUUUCGUGGGGGAUAACGUAGGGAAACUUACGCUAAUACCGCAUACGACCUACGGGUGAAAGCAGGGGAUCUUCGGACCUUGCGCGAUUGAAUGAGCCGAUGUCGGAUUAGCUAGUUGGCGGGGUAAAGGCCCACCAAGGCGACGAUCCGUAGCUGGUCUGAGAGGAUGGUCAGCCACACUGGAAGUGAGACACAGUAGAGACACCUACGCGAAGACACGGUGGGGACUAUUAGGCGAAGCGGGCAAGCCUGAUCCAGCCAUACCGCGUAGAUGAAGAAGGCGUUCGGGUUGUAGAACCAUGUUGUUGGGAGAAAAGUGCAGCAGGUUAAUACCCCGCUGUUCUGACGGUACCCAAAGAAUAAGCACCGGCUAACUUCGUG